rnacentral:rRNA from 1 species
UGGGGAAUAUUGCACAAUGGGCGAAAGCCUGAUGCAGCAACGCCGCGUGAGGGACGACGGCCUUCGGGUUGUAAACCUCUUUUAGCAAGGAAGAAGCGAAAGUGACGGUACUUGCAGAAAAAGCGCCGGCUAACUACGUGCCAGCAGCCGCGGUAAUACGUAGGGCGCAAGCGUUAUCCGGAAUUAUUGGGCGUAAAGAGCUCGUAGGCGGUUUGUCGCGUCUGCUGUGAAAACCCGAGGCUCAACCUCGGGCCUGCAGUGGGUACGGGCAGACUAGAGUGCGGUAGGGGAGAUUGGAACUCCUGGUGUAGCGGUGGAAUGCGCAGAUAUCAGGAAGGACACCGAUGGCGAAGGCAGAUCUCUGGGCCGUAACUGACGCUGAGGAGCGAAAGGGUGGGGAGCAAACAGGCUUAGAUACCCUGGUAGUCCACCCGUAAACGUUGGGAACUAGUUGUGGGGUCCAUUCCACGGAUUCCGUGGACGCAGCUAACGCAUUAAGUUCCCCGCCUGGGGAGUACGGCCGCAAGGCUAAAACU